rnacentral:rRNA from 1 species
CCCUUAGAUGUUCUGGGCGGCCCGCGCACUACAUUGGCACUAGCAAAGAGAUCCUAGAUUGAAUUCUUUGGGGUAUUCUUCUAAAUGGUGUCGUGACUGGGAUAAAUCCUUGUAAUUAUUGGUUUUGAACGAGGAAUACCUUGUAAUCGCGGUUUAUCAGCUCGCGUUGAAUGCGUCCCUGCCCUUUGUACACACCGCCCGUCGCUCCUACCGAUGGAUCGUCCGGUGAAGCUCACGGAGUGACUGUUCACGCAACGGUUUACGAAGUGAAAUGGACCUCACGAUUUAGAGGAAGGAGAAGUCGUAACA